CAGAGUACGGAACAGUUACAAUCUUGGUCGCGAGGCGACGCCAACAUAACUCUCUGUCGCGGCCGGUGUCGUAUUUAAUCGAGACUAGCGUAAUUUAUGCGUUCCCUGCGCGACCCUUCGUCGUCAUCCAGCAUGAAAAUUGCCGUGGGGAACGAGUUUCGCGGUUUUUACGCGUUGACCGAAAUACGAUAAUUGAUACCUGGACCGAUUAGAACGACGACGGGGCCGUACCACGUCCGUGCUUAUCUGUAAAUAUCCCCCCGUGAAAACAAGAGAUUUGACGAUACCAAACCGCCUUCCGACACACAAAGAUAACAGAUGCGCGCAACCCGCUGCCGCUGCUGACGAGCACCCUGGACGAGACUGAUGGACACCUUUGUCCUGUGACGUCCCAUCAACCGUUAGAAGGCACUUUGCGUUAUAGUUCUUGGGAGUCGAGUAUAUACUCGAUGCAGUAAGGAAAUGGUGGUGGGUCAGGGUCUUAAUGACAGUGAGGGACUGAGGCGAAGGAAUAUAAAGAAAGACGAGCAGAAAUUCUUGGUCAGACGUGUAACCUCGUGUAAUCGAGUUGACCCCGUAGGACGAUUAACCAAAUUGGAAGGUCUCUUGGAUGACACUGAGUCAUGGUUUCUCCUUAAAGUUCACGAUCGUCGAGUUUCUUUGCUUCUGCUGAGAACACACGACCGCUUAAUAAAUAUCGCAUGCGACGGUUCGAGAUUCAUGAGGGCUUCCGCAGCCAUUGACGCAAAGGAGAAGGGGGGUAACAGGUUCACGGAUUUUAACAAGCUACGAACCACCCCAUGCAUAUUCAGCGCGAAGCCACGAUGCCAAGAUAACGAUAUCUUCGUGAUUCUUCAGCCACUUUUCAGACGAGCCACGGAAAAUUUCCAGAUAAUCGAUUCGAAGGAACAUGCGCCCGCGCAAUCGAAACCGUGGCUAUGAAGAAUACGGUUUUAUGAAGUUUCUAAAAUACACUGCUGGUCAAAAGUUUGGAAUUACUUGAUAUGUAAUAUCAAUGAAAAAUUAUAUAUCAUAAAUAUAUAAAAUAAAAUAACAAAAAUGUUAUAUCUUGUAUGUUCCUUUAUCAUAUACAAGAAUUCACCAAUAAAACUUUUGACCAACAGCAUAACUGGACGCGAAAAAGCUUCUCUUUAGCAAAUAUUCAUUUUAGCAAUAAUAAUAUAUCACUGUAAAGUUUACGCGAGUAUAAAUAUUCGAAAUAUUGUUUAUAAAAAUAUACGUUUCCAAUUUGAUUUUGUUGUUUAGUGAAUAACUAAAAAAUUAGUACUUUUUGAAAUUCAUCUUUUAAAGUUAAACUUCACCUCAAAUUUAGAUGACAUUCAAACAUUAUUUUUGUAAUUCUUACGUCAGUUUCUAAUUGCGAAUAUUUAAAUAAAUUUAUAUGUCUGAAAAUAUAUUUACAAUUAGAAGAAUUAAAGUUACUUAGAAAUACAAUCUUUUUGUCAUGGAUUUUAUAAAAAUGUAUGUAUAAUAUACACAUUUAAUCACAUUUUUCGAAAAUGAUCUAAUGGAUUGAUUAAUCCAAAUAGAUUACAUGAUUAUACUUGAAAAAAUAGUAGUAAGUUUUGUAUUUCCUACAUACGUGUACUUCAAAAUAAAUUAGGUGUAUUAAAUUGCUGACCUUUCAAAACAGAAGAAAUUAUAUUUGAAACACUUUUUUAAAUAACGAAUAGUUCCGAGGAUAAUUGCAUUUAUGAAUUAAAAUGGAACUAUCUUUCGUAACAAAAUUAAUUUUCUUACAUUAUUAUUUAUAGAUAAAUUGCAAAUAUUAAACUAUCUAUUCGGCUAAAAGUAAAGCAAAAUUAGUAUUACAUUUUAUU